CGCGCAGGCGGUCGUUCAAGUCGAGUGUGAAAGCUUUCGGCUCAACUGGGGAGGGUCACUCGAUACUGAUCGACUCGAAGGCAGGAGAGGGAAGUGGAAUUCCCGGUGUAGUGGUGAAAUGCGUAGAUAUCGGGAGGAACACCAGUGGCGAAGGCGACUUCCUGGCCUGUUCUUGACGCUGAGGCGCGAAAGCUAGGGAGCAAACG
rnacentral:rRNA from 1 species